UUGAGUAUUAGGGUUUCAGAA
rnacentral:siRNA from 1 species